rnacentral:tRNA from 1 species
GGGAGUAUAGUAUAACUUGGUAGUAUCGUGGGCUCCAAACCCGCUGGUCGGGGUUCAAAUCCCUGUGCUCCCA